rnacentral:lncRNA from 1 species
AAAAGAAAUGAGAACCAUAAACGUAAGAAAGAAAAUUUUAAAAGGAACAAUAUAUUUGUAUUAUCAGUUUGUUACCUUUUCUUAGCUCACCUCUUUACCAAAUUGAAGACUGGUUAUGAUACAACAUUCUUUUGUAGCAAUUGAGGCUCACAGUUCUAUUGUAAUGAGCAAUAUGAAAAUAAGUCAAAGUGAUACUCAGAGCUUUGAGGAUAUACUAAUAUGGCUCUAUGCUGGUACAAGUUCCUUCCCUCUGCUGAUCUUCAAUAUUUGAAAAGGCCAGAUUUACUUUCUGUGCUGAGACCAAAGCAGAACCUCUGAGUCAGGAAUCUCCAUCCAUGACUGAAUAACCAAUAACCACCUUAAGAGGAAUAAAAUAAAUAGAUUCC